GAUGAACGCUAGCGGCAGGCCUAACACAUGCAAGUCGAGGGGUAGAAGGAGCUUGCUCCUUUGAGACCGGCGCACGGGUGCGUAACGCGUAUGCAAUCUACCUUGUACAGGGGAAUAGCCCAGAGAAAUUUGGAUUAAUGCCCCAUAGUAUAUAACCUUCGCAUGUUGGUUAUAUUAAAGUUCCAACGGUACAAGAUGAGCAUGCGUCCCAUUAGUUAGUUGGUAAGGUAACGGCUUACCAAGACGAUGAUGGGUAGGGGUCCUGAGAGGGAGAUCCCCCACACUGGGACUGGGACACGGACCAGACUCCUACGGGAGGCAGCAGUGAGGAAUAUUGGUCAAUGGUCGCAAGACUGAACCAGCCAUGCCGCGUGCAGGAAGACGGUCCUAUGGAUUGUAAACUGCUUUUAUACAGGAAGAAACCCUCCCACGUGUGGGAGCUUGACGGUACUGUAGGAAUAAGGAUCGGCUAACUCCGUG
rnacentral:rRNA from 1 species